GCCAGCUUGGCGCAGUGGGUGAGUUCCACUGAUCAUUCUAAAAUGAUCGCACGAUUUACUGACAUCAUCAAGUAACGCGUCGCACUUGUACCCCACAUGCAAGUACAUGCGAAGAUCACUGGUUCGAUUCCAGUAGUUGGCA